rnacentral:rRNA from 1 species
AGUAUGACUCUCAGCAAUAGAUAUCUCGGCUCUCGCAUCGAUGAAGAAUGUAGCGAAAUGCGAUACUCGAUGUGAAUUGCAGAAUCCUGCGAACCAUCAAGUCUUUGAAUGCAAGUUGUGCCCGAGGCCGUUAGGCCAAGGGCAUGCCUGCCUGGGUGUCACGC